rfam:Aedes albopictus isolate Foshan contig22913, whole genome shotgun sequence.
GGGCCCGUAGUGUAGUGGCUACACGUUCACUUCAUAAGUGGAUGGUCAUGGGUUCGAUCCCAGCCCGGCACU